AAAUGAAUUUAUCGCUAUUGUUUUCUCACUUAAAGAAACUCAUCUCACCGCAACUACCCCAAGGUCAACUAAUUGCGAUAGUGGGAGGAUGUAUUUAUUUAGGUAAGUAUCAUGUAGACAAUUAAAGAGAUUGACAAUUACUAUAUGAACUCAAAAGAGAGUUGCAUCAUCAAAACGAACAGCUUAUAUAUGUUGGUCAAUGGUAACUAGAUUUGAUCUCAAUUAUUUUAUUGGUAACUCCUAUUAUUAGCCAACUUGUUGCAGCUGCUACCUCUCUUUACCCUGCUAUAUAAGCAUACACUCACCAAGAUUUCAACUUCCACAGCAAAUCAAUAACAUAUUCUCAUCAGAAAGCAGCGAUGGAAACCAAGUCAUCGAAAUCCAGCGUCCUCCUAUAUGUUCUUGUUCUUGCGCUGGUCUUGUCUCCAAUACUCCCAUGUCAAGCAGCUAGUGCGCAUCUAGGAGGUGGAGGCCCUGGAGGGCGUAAGCUGAUGGCACCGUCACCACCAGUUCGCAUGUGUCCACAGUGUGUGUGUUGCGCACCGGCUCCCCCUGGAUAUUGCUGCCCAUGUCGCUGUCCUGGUGGUCCCUAAAGAUUGUGAACUUUGCUAUCAAAGAUAAUACUGUGAAGUGUUAGAUAUAUGUGUAAUAUUAUAUAUAUGUAUGAAUAAGUAAACAAGAAGUGUACUCUUUUUGUUUCUAAUAAGAAAUUUUUGAAUA